rnacentral:rRNA from 1 species
GGUAGUCCACGCCGUAAUCGAUGAGUGCUAAGUGUUGGAGGGUUUCCGCCCUUCAGUGCUGCAGUUAACGCAUUAAGCACUCCGCCUGGGGAGUACGGCCGCAAGGCUGAAACUCAAAGGAAUUGACGGGGGCCCGCACAAGCGGUGGAGCAUGUGGUUUAAUUCGAAGCAACGCGAAGAACCUUACCAGGUCUUGACAUCCUUUGACCACUCUAGAGAUAGAGCUUUCCCUUCGGGGACAAAGUGACAGGUGGUGCAUGGUUGUCGUCAGCUCGUGUCGUGAGAUGUUGGGUUAAGUCCCGCAACGAGCGCAACCCUUAUUGUUAGUUGCCAUCAUUCAGUUGGGCACUCUAGCGAGACUGCCGGUGACAAACCGGAGGAAGGUGGGGAUGACGUCAAAUCAUCAUGCCCCUUAUGACCUGGGCUACACACGUGCUACAAUGGACGGUACAAUGAGUCGCGAGACCGCGAGGUUUAGCUAAUCUCUUAAAGCCGUUCUCAGUUCGGAUUGUAGGCUGCAACUCGCCUACAUGAAGCCGGAAUCGCUAGUAAUCGUGGAUCAGCACGCCACGGUGAAUACGUUCCCGGGCCUUGUACACACCGCCCGUCACACCACGAGAGUUUGUAACACCCAAAGUCGGUGAGGUAACCUAUGAGCCAGCCGCUAGCCAAGAAUAAA